rnacentral:lncRNA from 1 species
CGCUGGGCACCGCUGGGCACCGCCGGGCACCAGUGGGCACGGGUGGGCACGGGUGGGUACUGGUGGUGCUGGACACUGGUGGGUACUGGGCACCGCUGGGCACCGCUGGGCACCGCUGGGCACCGGUGGUGCUGGGCACUGGUCACUGGUGGGUACUGGGCACUGGUGGUCACUUGGAGCGCUGGUGGGCACUGGGCACUGGUGGGCACUGGUCACUGGUGGGUACUGGGCACUGGUGGUCACUUGGAGCGCUGGUGGGCACUGGGCACCGCUGGGCACUGGUGGGCACUUGGAGCGCUGGUGGGCACUGGGCACUGGUGGGCACUGGUGGGCACUUGGAGCGCUGGUGGUCACUUGGAGCACUGGUGGUCACCGUUGGUCACUGGUCACUGGUGGGCACUGGUCACUGAUGGGCACUGGUCACUGGUGGGUACUGGUCACUGGUGGUCACUUGGAGCGCUGGUGGGCACUGGGCACCGCUGGGCACUGGUGGGCACUUGGAGCGCUGGUGGUCACUUGGAGCACUGGUGGUCACCGUUGGUCACUGGUCACUGGUGGUCACUGGUCACUGGUGGGUACUGGUCACUGGUGGGCACUUGGAGCACUGGUGGUCACCGUUGGUCACUGGUCACUGGUGGUCACUGGUCACUGGUGGGUACUGGUCACUGGUGGGCACUUGGAGCGCUGGUGGGCACUGGGCACUGGUGGGCACUGGCGGUCACUUGGAGUGCUGGUGGUCACCGUUGGUCACUGGUCACUGGUGGGCACUGGUCACUGGUGGGUACCGGUGGUCACUUGGAGCGCUGGUGGUCACUGUUGGUCACUUGGAGCGCUGGUGGGCACUGGGCACCGGUGGACACUGGCGGUCACUUGGAGUGCUGGUGGUCACCGGUGGGCACUGGUCACUGGUGGGCACUGGUGGUCACUUGGAGCACUGGUGGGCACCACUGGGCACCGGUGGUGCUGGGCACUGGUGGGCACUGGUCACUGGUCACUGGUCACUGGUGGUGCUGGUCACUGGUGGCCAGCACCAAUCACUGCUCUCAGUCACUGGUGGCACUGGUUUAACUGGUGUCCAUCCGGGAUGUCACUGGUUUAACUGGUGUCACUGGUGUCUGGCACUGGUUUAACUGGUCUAACUGGUCUCUAACUAGUCUAACUGGUCUCUAACUGGUCUCUAACUGGUCUCUAACUAGUCUAACUGGUCUCUAACUGGUCUCUAACUGGUCUCCAACUGGUCCCUAACUGGUCUCUAACUGGUCUCUAACUGGUAUAACUGGUCUAACUGGUCUGUAGCUGAUCUCUAGCUGGUCUCUAACUGGUCUAACUGGUCUCUAACUGGUCUAACUGGUCUAACUAGUCUCUAACUGGUCUAACUGGUCUAACUGGUCUCUAACUGGUCUAACUGGUGUCCCGCUGUCCGGCACUGGUCAGCGCAGUCCGGCCGGGCGUGGCCGGGGUGGGGGAGGGGCCGUUUGGGGGGUUCUCCCCCCCCCGCCCCUCCCCCCAGGAAGGAGCGGGG